rnacentral:rRNA from 1 species
CUAUUAGCUUGUUGGUAGGGUAACGGCCUACCAAGGCCACGAUGGGUAGCCGACCUGAGAGGGUAGACGGCCACACUGGGAUUGAGAUACGGCCCAGACUCCUACGGGAGGCAGCAGUGGGGAAUUUUGGACAAUGGGGGAAACCCUGAUCCAGCGACGCCGCGUGAGGGAUGAAGGCCUUCGGGUUGUAAACCUCUGUCAGAGAGAACGAAUUAGCUCCGAUUCUGUCGGAGCAGGACGGUACUCUCAGAGGAGGCCACGGCUAACUCCGUGCCAGCAGCCGCGGUAAUACGGAGGUGGCAAGCGUUAUCCGGAUUCAUUGGGCGUAAAGGGCGUGUAGGUGUUCCCAUAAGUCGGAUGUGAAAUCCUUCUGCUCAACAGAAGAACGGCAUUCGAAACGGUGGGGAUUGAGUACAGGAGAGGAGGAGUGGAAUUCCUGGUGUAGCGGUGAAUGCGUAGAUAUCAGGAGGAACACCGGUGGCGAAGGCGACUCUCUGGCCNGAUACUGACACUGAAACGCGAAAGCUAGGGGAGCAAACAGGAUUAGAUACCCUGGUAGUCCUAGCCGUAAACGAUGCUCACUAGGUGUGGGAGGUAUCGAUUCCUUCCGUGCCGCAGCUAACGCAUUAAGUGAGCCGCCUGGGGAGUACGACCGCAAGGUUGAAACUCAAAGGAAUUGACGGGGGCCCGCACAAGCGGUGGAGCAUGUGGUUCAAUUCGACGCUACGCGAGAAACCUUACCGGGAUUUGACAUGUACUUGAAAUCCGUCUGAAAGGACGGACCUCCUUCGGGACAAGUGCGCAGGUGGUGCAUGGCUGUCGUCAGCUCGUGUCGUGAGAUGUUGGGUUAAGUCCCGCAACGAGCGCAACCCCUACCCUUAGUUGCCAGCGGAUAAUGCCGGGCACUCUAGGGGAACUGCCCCGGAUAACGGGGAGGAAGGUGGGGAUGACGUCAAGUCCUCAUGCCCUUUAUGUCCCGGGCCACACACGUGCUACAAUGGUCGGUACAAAGGGUUGCCAACCCGCGAGGGGGAGCCAAUCCCAAAAAGCCGACCUCAGUUCGGAUUGAAGGCUGCAACUCGCCUUCACGAAGCUGGAAUCGCUAGUAAUGGCGCAUCAGCAUGGCGCCGUGAAUACGUUCCCGGGCCUUGUACACACCGCCCGUCACACC